UAGGGAAUCUUCGGCAAUGGACGGAAGUCUGACCGAGCAACGCCGCGUGAGUGAAGAAGGUUUUCGGAUCGUAAAGCUCUGUUGUAAGAGAAGAACGAGUGUGAGAGUGGAAAGUUCACACUGUGACGGUAACUUACCAGAAAGGGACGGCUAACUACGUGCCAGCAGCCGCGGUAAUACGUAGGUCCCGAGCGUUAUCCGGAUUUAUUGGGCGUAAAGCGAGCGCAGGAGGCGGUUAGAUAAGUCUGAAGUUAAAGGCUGUGGCUUAACCAUAGUACGCUUUGGAAACUGUUUUUUAACUUGAGUGCAGAAGGGGAGAGUGGAAUUCCAUGUGUAGCGGUGAAAUGCGUAGAUAUAUGGAGGAACACCGGUGGCGAAAGCGGCUCUCUGGUCUGUAACUGACGCUGAGGCUCGAAAGCGUGGGGAGCAAACAGGAUUAGAUACCCUGGUAGUCCACGCCGUAAACGAUGAGUGCUAGGUGUUGGGUCCUUUCCGGGACUCAGUGCCGCAGCUAACGCAUUAAGCACUCCGCCUGGGGAGUACGACCGCAAGGUUG
rnacentral:rRNA from 1 species